GACGAACGCUGGCGGCGUGCUUAACACAUGCAAGUCAAGGAGAACAGAAAUCUUCGGAGUUCUAAGUAAACUGGCGAACGGGUGAGUAACACGUAGGUAACCUACCCUUGAGAUAGGGAUAACUCUGCUAACGCGGAGCUAAUACCUGAUAAUAUCCUGAAAACACAUGUUUUCGGAAUCAAAGCUGCCUUCGGGUAGUACUCAUAGAUGGACCUGCGUCCCAUUAGCUUGUUGGUGAGGUAACGGCUCACCAAGGCAACGAUAGGUAGCCGGCCUGAGAGGGUGAUCGGCCACACUGGGACUGAGAUACGGCCCAGACUCCUACGGGUGGCAG
rnacentral:rRNA from 1 species